rnacentral:lncRNA from 1 species
AUUUCUGUUCUCUAUCUUUUUCUUCUUUUUCUUUUUGUCUUUGUUCAUACAGUUCUUUUAACAUUUGUAAUUCUUUUUCUAAUUCAGCAAUUCUACUAUUUUUGGUUUCUUCUAUUUUUCGUAUUUCUUCCGUAGUUUGUUGUUUUAUUUUUUCUAUUUCUUUUUUCCUAUCUAUCUCUUCAUUUUCUUUUUCUAUUCUUACCAUUGCUGUUAAUUUAUCUUCUAAUUUUAAUUCUUCUUUUUCCAACAUUAGAUAUAAAUGUUCACCUAUUUUCUUAUAUCUUCAUCCUAG